AUUUGGGUUUUUUUAUUUUCUAGCAUAACUACAAAGUAUGUUUUAUAUGGUAAGUAAUUACUUCCCGAUUUAAUUUUGUAUUACAACUGGCAUUCGGCAUUGUAUAUAUGGUAACAACGCACUAAUUUUGUUUUUAAUUCUUAACGGUAGGAUUAAGACGAUGAUAUAUAUAUAGGCAGAAGUCGAUUGCCCUUUUACACUUAACACCAGGCAGACGUUCAUCGACGAUUCAAGACGUUUGAGAUAGAUUUGAGAAUCGAGAGGAAAGCCUCCUCCUCUGCUGAAAUGGUGUCUGUAAGUGAAUUACAAAACCUAGAUGCUUUCUAUUUCUGGAUUUUGUUUGGAAAAUACGGUAAGGUAAACAUCUGCUUCUACUAUCUUGGCCUCUCAAGAAGCGCCUCUUUGGUACGUAGAAUUCUCUAAGUUUAUGCUAUAAAUUCAUUUCUGUGGUUCUGUCAUAUUUUUGGUGAGAACCCUACACUGUAAAUGUUUUAAUUUAUUCUCCGGUGCAAUUCCUAUGGUCUUUUGCAUCUAAGAAAAACUCAUUUUCAUUGUCUCCUGGAAACGUUUUUUUGUCUCUUGCAAUUAAUUCAUAUGCAACUUUCUCUUAAUCUUUAGGGAUCAAUUGCUAUGUUAUGCUAUGCCAUUGGUGCUGCAGAUUUACAUAUUUAUUCAUAAUAUAAGUUUAUUGCCCUGAAGUAUGUGAGUUGUUUUUUAAUCUUUGGUGGGAUGUGUUUAGUUCUGGUUUUGGUUAUUAUUAUGAUUACUUUUAUUACUCCAUGUCCAAUUCUUGGGAUGGUUCUAUGCCUGGCUUGGGUUUUAGUUUGUGGCUGGUCUGGCUCUAGGUUAUGCUUGCGUAUGCCUUGUCUGGGUUGGGUCAGGUUUGGAUCUAGGUCUAGACCUGGAUCUAAGUUGGGUUUGGGCUGGGCGUAGGUCUGGGUCUGGACUGGGUUUCGGGUGGGCUGGGGUUGGGUCUGGGCUUGGUCAGGUUCUGGAUUUGGGUCUGGGCUGGGUCUGAGUCUGGGUUGAGUCUGGGGCUGGGUCUUGGUCUGGUCUGAGUCUGGGUUUGGGUUUGGGAAUUUCCUAGGCGUGGGCUUGGGCUGGGUCUGGGUUUGGUUCUAGGUUGGGCCUUGGCCUGGGUCUUAUCUGGGUCUGGAUCUGGGGCAGGGCUGGGUUCGGGUCUGGUUUGGGUCUGGAUUUGGGUUUGGGUUCUAGAUCUAGUUUAUGCUGAGUUUGUGGGGUUCUAAAGGGGACUUAUCUCAUAAUUCCUUCUUAUUUUCUAGUGGAAUAAUACAUUUACAUAUGUUAUCUGUUCUUCUACAAUUCUCUCAUUUCAGUUUUAGGCUCUAUAUCUGUAACUUAUAUAAAACAUAUUCUUAGUUUUCAUGGUAGAUGAUUGAGUAACUCUUACAAGAUUUGUUUUCAUCACUGUUUCCAAAGAUUCACAAUAAAUCACAACAAUCAAAUUUUCGAAAAGGAAUGUUUUAAUUUGUUUUUCAUUUGUAACUAUGUAACAAUUUUUAUGAAUUUGAAGUAGUUGACUAUGUCAUUGUUAUGGUUUUCCAAAGUAGUUCUUGUUUUAAGUUUGUUUUCUAUCCAUAAUUGAUUUUUGCCCCAAAGUAUUCUAAUUUUUUUUUUUAACCUUUAUAAAAAUGGAAUGGAAAUGAUUUUUUUCUUUUCAACUUGGGUUUGUGUUCGGUUGGCUUGAGCUGGAUCUUGGUUUAGGCUGAGGGGUUUGGGCUGAGUUUGGGUUUUGUUCUGGGCUGGAUCCGGGGUGGGCUGGGGUUGGUUCUGGGCUUCGCCAGGGUCUGGAUUUGGGUCUUGGUCUGGUCUGGGUUUGGCUCUAGGCUAUGCCUGGGCCUGUGCUUGGGCUGGGUCCAGAUCUGGGUCAAGGCUCGCUUGGGUCUUGAUCAGGUCUGGAUCUGGGGCAGGGCUGUGUUUGGGUCUGGUUCUGGUCUGGUUCGAGAUCUCGUCUGGAUUUGGAUCUGAGUUUAGUCUGGGUCUAAGCUGGGUCUUGGUUUGGGUCUAGGUCUGUAUUUGGAUUUUGGUAUAAUAUUUGGGAGGAAUAAUACAUUUACAAAUGUUACAUUUUGUGGUUUAUUUAUAAAUCUUCCCAUUAAGUUUUUAGGCUCUAUGUGUAAUUAUUACCUUGUAUAAAACAUAUUCAUUGUUUUCAUGGCAAAUGAUAGCGCCAUAUGAAUCAGAUAUCAUUUGGCAUUGAAUCAUUUUACAAAGUAGCUCCCUAUUUAAAGUUGAUUUUCUGUCCAAAAAUGCAUUUUUGCCAAAUUUUCAAACAUGACUUCUUUUUCAGCUUUGUUCACUUCCCCACAAUGCUUCCAAGUUCUCUUGACCUAUUUUCUGAUCAAAUCUUUCUAUUUUUAUGAAUGAGAAGAAUGCUCCAUUAUCAGUGGUGCUAAGUAUGUUUGUCUAUUCCAAUGCUGCUUAAUCCUCUUGCUCUUGCUGCUGCCAUUCUUCUUAUAAUGCAAUUGUUUGAUUGAUUUGCACUCCCUAUUCAUUAAGUUCCAUGAAAAAAUCUGUUUGUUUGUUUGUUUUUAAUUUUUAUUUUUACAUUUAUAUUAAUCAUUUGAGUUUACAAUAACUUUACUACAAUUAUGCUGCAAGAUGAUGGAGCUAUAUGGUAAGGCAAUAAAUAGCUUUUAUCACCAAGUACUUAAUACAAAGGGCUUCUUUCAGGUUCAUUCACCUGGAAUCUGGAUAUGGAGGUGAAUUGUAUAACCUUUUGCCAAUUAUAGUGGGAAGUGGGUCAGUGCACACUAUCAUUGUCAACUACUUGCCCUGGUCUGGAGUUCAUUAAGCAAGAGACAUUCCAUUUUGGACUAACGUACUCUUAACUCAUUUGAGCAUAAGAUUCUUUAAAACAAGAUUUUGGAACCAAGGUGGGCUAUGCAAAUAUCAAAGCAUCCAAGACAUUGUGGGUACAUAUGAUUGAAAUUCUUUCUUUGUGAACUUAGAGGUUGCACUCACGGCAGUAAAGACAAGCAUAUAAAAGGCGGGAAUGCAAGGAUUGGAAUAGUUAUGAAAUCUUUCAUAUGAAGGGUGUGAGAUAUGAGAUUUCUAAUAAUGUAAAUUUUCAAGAUUUUGAAACAGCCUUUGAAGUGGCUUUCAUGGUUUUGACAAUUGAAGUUAUAUUGAAGCCUUUGAAGCUGCCUUCAUGGUUUUGACAAUUGAAGGUGUAUUGAAGCCUUUGAAGCUGCUUUCAUGGUUUUGACAACUGAAGGUAUAUUGAAGGUACGAUUAUCUCUUGUGUUAUACUUGUUUUAAAUAAUCUUUCAUAGUCAGCGGAAUAUAUUUAAUGAUUCCUGCAUCAAAGGAGGUGCUGCAGUGCAGUCAACAUAAUAUAUUUAAUGGUUUGUUUGUUUUGUUAGCGUGCCCAAUAGUUUGUAUGUAUAUUUGAAUUGUGUACUUGCUAUCUACUUUGAGCAAGCAUGCUUGAAAGCUUGUAUAUUUGUUCUGAUGUAUACUUACUAUUUGUUAGGGUGCAUGCAUCCCAAAUGCCUGCAUGACUUUUUUUGUUUAUUUUAUUUUUACUGUGAUCUUAUUAUUUGUUGAAGGUAGAUGUUCUUGGAAGGUUGCAUAUGUGCUUGACUGUAAGCUAAUUUUGUGUUGUCUUCAUAUUUGUUCUUACCUUGUGCUUAUCUUGUAUUGGCGUCUCCAAAAGCUUGCACAUUUGUUAUGAUUGUGCGUUUAUUAUCAGCUGGGAAAAGGUGCCUCAAAGCUUGCAUUAUUUUUUAUUAUUUAUUGUGUGCUUAUUAAUUAUUAGGGGCAGGUGUGCCAGAAGCUUGUAGCUUUGUUACACAUAUGUGCUUAUAUUAUUGUUUAAGGGUUGGCAUAGUGAAAACC